UCCUCGGCACCAUGUUCGUCGGCGCUGCCGAUACAUGCCCAGGCAGUCGAGACCUUCGAGGCUGCAAGCGCGGGAAACCGUGUUGGUCGAAUCUUCCUACGGACGCACCGCGUCUAUCCACCCACAAGGGAUCUCUCCCUUGUGGGC
rfam:Bordetella ansorpii strain H050680373 genome assembly, contig: ERS1093620SCcontig000002